rnacentral:rRNA from 1 species
GGAAUGGAGCAUCAUAGAGGGUGAGAAUCCCGUCUUUGACAUGGACUGCCAGGGCUUUUGUGAUGCGCUCUCAAAGAGUCGAGUUGUUUGGGAAUGCAGCUCAAAAUGGGUGGUAAAUUCCAUCUAAAGCUAAAUAUUGGCGAGAGACCGAUAGCGAACAAGUACCGUGAGGGAAAGAUGAAAAGAACUUUGGAAAGAGAGUUAAACAGUACGUGAAAUUGCUGAAAGGGAAACGCUUGAAGUCAGUCGCGUCGUCCAGGGAUCAACCUUGCUUUUGCUUGGUGCACUUUCUGGUUUGACGGGUCAGCAUCAAUUUUGACCAUUGGAAAAAGAUCAAGGGAAUGUGGCAUCUUUGGAUGUGUUUAUAGCCCUUGGUCACAUACAAUGGUUCGGGAUUGAGGAACUCAGCAUGCCGCAAGGCCGGGUGUUUACACCACGUACGUGCUUAGGAUGUUGACAUAUAUAAUGGCUUUAAUCGACCCGUCUUGAAACACGGACCAAGGAGUCUAACAUGCCUGCGAGUGUUUGGGUGGAAAACCCGAGCGCGUAAUGAAAGUGAAAAGUUGAGAUCCCUGUCGUGGGGAGCAUCGACGCCCGGAUCAGACCUUUUGUGACGGUUCCGCGGUAGAGCAUGUAUGUUGGGACCCGAAAGAUGGUGAACUAUGCCUGAAUAGGGUGAAUCCAGAGGAAACUCUGGUGGAGGCUCGUAGCGAUUCUGACGUGCAAAUCGAUCGUCAAAUUUGGGUAUAGGGGCGAAAGAC